rnacentral:rRNA from 1 species
GACGAACGCUGGCGGCGUGCCUAAUACAUGCAAGUUGAGCGAUGAAGAUUGGUGCUUGCACCAAUUUGAAGAGCAGCGAACGGGUGAGUAACGCGUGGGGAAUCUGCCUUUAAGCGGGGGACAACAUUUGGAAACGAAUGCUAAUACCGCAUAAUAACUUUAAACAUAAGUUUUAAGUUUGAAAGAUGCAAUUGCAUCACUCAAAGAUGAUCCCGCGUUGUAUUAGCUAGUUGGUGAGGUAAAGGCUCACCAAGGCGAUGAUACAUAGCCGACCUGAGAGGGUGAUCGGCCACAUUGGGACUGAGACACGGCCCAAACUCCUACGGGAGGCAGCAGUAGGGAAUCUUCGGCAAUGGACGAAAGUCUGACCGAGCAACGCCGCGUGAGUGAAGAAGGUUUUCGGAUCGUAAAACUCUGUUGGUAGAGAAGAACGUUGGUGAGAGUGGAAAGCUCAUCAAGUGACGGUAACUACCCAGAAAGGGACGGCUAACUACGUG